GGCGGUUCUUGGUUGAUGCACCCCGGAUUUGGACUCACUCCUCUCUGGUUCUGGGUGCAUCAUCCGAGAAUCCUG
rfam:Myotis brandtii contig262492, whole genome shotgun sequence.